UACCCAAUGCCAAAGUUAUACAACUGAAAGUUAAUUUUUAAUUGAUUGGUGGUUUCUCUGUAAUGAGGUAAUCCAUUGAGUCUUUGCUUCACCGUUAACAAUGAUCAACAAAUGAGGCAUUCAAGGUUCUCGAAAUUUCUUUAGUAAGGCUACUAACAUGAAGGUUCUUGCAUACAAAUCAUCUACUCAUGAUGAGAUAGUUACGUUGCUAGCCCCAAAGUGAAGAUCAAUCCCAUGAAGGCAAGUAAUUUCUGAAUGCCUACAUUUUUCCUUUUAAGAGGUUUCGU
rnacentral:lncRNA from 1 species